rnacentral:rRNA from 1 species
UACGGGGGGUGCGAGCGUUGUCCGGAAUCACUGGGCGUAAAGGGCGCGUAGGUGGUUUGAUAAGGGUGUGGUGAAAGUCCGGGGCUCAACCCCGGAUCUGCCGUGCCGACUGUCAAACUCGAGGACUGUAGAGGAUGGCGGAAUUCCCGGUGUAGCGGUGAAAUGCGUAGAGAUCGGGAGGAACAUCCGUGGCGAAGGCGGCCAUCUGGAUCAACACGUGACGCUGAGGCAC